rnacentral:lncRNA from 1 species
UUCAGUUUCCUCAGUUUCUUGUACAGUGAGUGGCUGGGGGGCCACAAGGAGCUGGGAGAGGAAGAGUGGAGUGAAAGGCUGUGUGGUGCUGAGCUGUUUGCCAGGUGAAAUCACAGCACAAAGUAAGGCAUAGUGCUAUAAUACUCCCCAAAAUCAGUUUUGUUCUUGGCAAUUUGAGUCAACUCUAUUCCAGUUGGAAACAUUGUGUCAAUAACAAAUUAUUUUCCAAACUGCGGUUGACUACCCCUUGCUACAGUAAUGAAAGGAUGAAAUUGUUUCAAAU